GUGUGCGCUUUGCCGACUCCCCUCUGCGUUGGAUGGACUGCUCCGUCCCGAGGCAUGCUGGGAGCUGUAGUUCUGCUGUGCCGGGAGGUCACGUGGGCUGCAGAGUGCGCGGCCGGUCUUUCCCCGAGAUAGAUAAAAAUAAAGUUUUCUGUAUUCCAAGAUAGGAGAAAAGCUCUUUCCAGAGAGAUGGAUAAGGAAUUAAUUAUACCUCUGCCUCAUCCUGUGAGACCAGAAGACACGGAGUAACUGUAAGCUGCGAUUCUCAGGAGACAUACUUAGAGUCUCGGGUUCCUUUUCUGCCUGUCCCCCAAGGCCUUGGGCACGUUGGGUUCACCCUGGGAAGGGCACGUUGCUCAGGGCAGUUACUUCCUCCCUGAGACGACGUGGGGUGCGUUUUUCUGCUGCACUUGUGGUUUUCCAUGUGGUUCUCACUGCUUCCAUUAUUGAGAAAACGGUUUAGGAAGCUGUGUCUGCCGUUUCUCAGGAUUUUUUGCCACCACCUGCUGGCAAAAAAAAUCAGUAACGCAGGUGGAGCCAUGUAGGACUUCUCAGAGGUAAGUCUUCAACAUACAGGGACCCCUAAAAUCAUGCGCUGAGCAUGCAAGACAAAUGUCUGUGGCACAAAGAUCAAGGAUGACUUCUCAGAGGUAAGCAGCUUUUCCUUUGUUUCCCUGUCUUCUCAGGAGCCCUUUUUACGAUACUUGUACACACUUCAGGCUCACAACACUCAUUUUCUCCUCUACUUAGUAUUCCUAGUCCCUGCCUAACCUGCCCUCCCUCCCCCCACUUUCCAAAGACCUAUGUGCUCUGCUCACCUCCCUCCUGAGGUCUUACAGAUCUUUUAAAUCUGCUCAGCAGCCUUUCCGGCUUGUACUGUUCCAUUAUUUUUUCCCUGCUCCUUUUGAGAAUGUCUGUACCCUUUUCAGAUCUUGAUUGGGUUGGCUUUUUUGGACACAUCUGCAUAGCCUUUUGUUUUUUGGAUAGUCUACUAAGAUGUAUGAAGGCACUUGUGUAACUCUCCAGAGGACUAAAAAGAGCCUGAUUACACACUGCAAGAGGCUUGACCACGUAGGCGCAGUAAUUACUAAGAGACUGAGCAGGGUCAUAUCAGAGUUACCUUUUUCAUCUAUAAAGGGGGCUUCCUGAAGUCUUGGACAGGGAAAUCCCCGUGUCACGGAGCAGUGAGGGAAGGUGAGAGUUUUAUCAGCCUGGUCGUCCCUUAUCCGAAGCGAAGGGAAGACAUUCAGGUGUUUCCCUCUGAGGGUCUGAGGUGAGGCUGUUUGGGACAGAGGAGCAAUGUGGCAGGUGGUCGCUUGCAAGCGCAGUGGUCAUUUUGUCCUUCUGUGUUCCCAGGUGUCAUGAGCUGGCAGGAGCUGCUGCCCGUGGGGGACCCAGGUUGGAGCAGUUUGCUCCUGAGGGAUGGACCCCGUGGUA
rnacentral:lncRNA from 1 species